ensembl:lncRNA
UGAUUCUAAUGUGGACGUGCUCAUAGGGGUCAAAACUGUUGUAAAGAUUGAUUGAGCUGUCGCUAUAGAUUCAGUUUCUGUGGUAGAACUAAACUGAGUGGUUUGAGCCUGCUGGCUUGUUGUUUGCUCCACACUGGAAGUGGGUAUUUCUGCUAUUGAUGAAGUGAAUUCUGAUGUACUUUGUCCUUCUGUCGCAGUAGAUGGUGAAAAUGGAGAGGUAUCUGUUGUGGACAAUGUAGUUUCCCCUGUUUUAACACUUUCAAGUGUAGAUGAUUCUAAUGUUGACAUGCUCGUAGGGGUCAUAACUGUUGUUAAGGUUGAUUGAGCUGUCGUUGUAGAUUCAGUUUCUGUGGUAGAACUAAACUGAGUGGUUUGUGUUUGUUGGCUUGUUGUUUGCUCUACACUGGAAGUAGGUAUUUCUGCUGUUGAUGAAAUCAGUUCUGAUGUACUUUGUCCUUCUGUUGUGGUAGACGGUAAGGAUGGAGAGGUACCUAUUGUGGAUAAUGUAGUUUCCAAUGUUGAACCACUUUCAAGUGUAGACGAUUCUAAUGUCAACAUACUCGUAAGUGACAAAACUGUUGUAAAGGUUGAUUGAGCUGUCGUUGUAGAUUCAGUUUCUGUGGUAGAACUAAACUGAGUGGUUUGAGCCUGCUGGCUUGUUGUUUUCUCUACACUGGAAGUCGGUAUUUCUUUUGUUGAUGAAGUGAAUUCUGAUGUAUUUUGUUCUACUGUUGUAGUAGAUGGUGAAAACGGAGAGGUACCUAUUGUGUGUAUUGUAGUUUCCAUUGUUGAACCACUUAUAAGUGAAGAUGAUUCAAAUGUGGACAUGCUCAUAGGGGUCAUAGCUGUCGUAAAUAUUGAUUGAGCUGUCGUUGUAGAUUCAGUUUCUGCGGUAGAACUAAGCUGAGUUGUUUGUGCCUGCUGGCUUGUUGUUGGCUCUACACUGGAAGUAGAUAUUUUUGCUGUUGUUGAAAUCAUUUGUGAUGUACUUUGUCCAUCUGUUGUGGUAGACGGUAAGGAUGGAGAGGUACCUGUUGUGGAUAAUGUCAUUUCCAGUGUUGAACCACUUUCAAGUGUAGAUGAUUCUAAUGUGGACGUGCUCAUAGGGGUCAAAACUGUUGUAAAGGUUGAUUGAGCUGUCGCUGUAGGUUCUAUGU